UGGAGCGGAAGAGCGACUGACGGUACCUGCCUGUUCAAAGAGGCAGGCGCUGAGGAAGCUCCCAACUACGCGCCGACACCAGUCUUGCGCAAGCAAUGGGGUGAGAGCCUCGCUCUGGGAACAGAAACGAGACCCCCGGACCGGGCGUGACGAUGAUUCGGCCAUUCGAGCCGCUGAGAAUCCAGUUCGGAACGGUUGAAACGGCCCAACACUGGGUAGCAACUCCAAGAAUACACCGCUGAUGUGUCGGCCUGAGGUGUAGGGUAGGAGGCACAGUCGGAUGUCGCAAGGCCUGCGCUGGCAACGGCCGCAGGUGGAACAGAAUUGGGGCUACUCUCCGGACCA
rnacentral:RNase_P_RNA from 1 species